GGAAAGUUUUCAAAUUGGAUUUUUAUUUCUGAUUAAUUUUCGGCGUUUUAAAUGAGGAAUAAAAGAAAAAUUCCAACUCUUGACUUUACCAUGCAUACUCAUUUUUAAAGAAAUUCUCUUACAAUUAAGGGCACUAAAUGGGGACAAUAUGGUGUAUAUUUUGCAGUGUUGUUAUUGCAGUUUUAUGAUGUAUAUCAUUUAUAUAUAUGUCAAGUGAUUUGCAGCAUUCUGCCUGAUGGAAUAAAUACAGAUUGCUU
rnacentral:sRNA from 1 species